GACGAACGCUGGCGGCGUGCUUAACACAUGCAAGUCGAACGGAAAGGCCCUGCUUUUGUGGGGUGCUCGAGUGGCGAACGGGUGAGUAACACGUGAGUAACCUGCCCUUGACUUUGGGAUAACUUCAGGAAACUGGGGCUAAUACCGGAUAGGAGCUCCUGCUGCAUGGUGGGGGUUGGAAAGUUUCGGCGGUUGGGGAUGGACUCGCGGCUUAUCAGCUUGUUGGUGGGGUAGUGGCUUACCAAGGCUUUGACGGGUAGCCGGCCUGAGAGGGUGACCGGCCACAUUGGGACUGAGAUACGGCCCAGACUCCAACGGGCGGCAGCAGUGGGGAAUAUUGCACAAUGGGCGGAAGCCUGAUGCAGCAACGCCGCGUGCGGGAUGACGGCCUUCGGGUUGUAAACCGCUUUCGCCUGUGGCGAAGCGUGAGUGACGGUAAUGGGUAAAGAAGCACCGGCUAACUACGUG
rnacentral:rRNA from 1 species